rnacentral:rRNA from 1 species
CCUACGGGAGGCAGCAGUGAGGACUAUUGGUCAAUGGGCGCUAGCCUGAACCAGCCAAGUAGCGUGAAGGAUGACUGCCCUAUGGGUUGUAACCUUCUUUUAUAUGGGAAUAAAGUGCAGUAUGUAUACUGCUUUUCAUGUACCUUAUGAAUAAGGAUCGGCUAACUCCGUGCCAGCAGCCGCGGUAAUACGGAGGAUCCGAGCGUUAUCCGGAUUUAUUGGGUUUAAAGGGAGCGUAGGCGGGUUGUUAAGUCAGUUGUGAAAGUUUGCGGCUCAACCGUAAAAUUGCAGUUGAUACUGGCAUCCUUGAGUACAGUAGAGGUAGGCGGAAUUCGUGGUGUAGCGGUGAAAUGCUUAGAUAUCACGAAGAACUCCGAUUGCGAAGGCAGCCUGCUGGACUGUAACUGACGCUGAUGCUCGAAAGUGUGGGUAUCAAACAGGAUUAGAUACCCCAGUAGUC